AGCUCUGUAGUGUAGUGGUUAUCAUGUUCGCGUUACACAGCAAAGGUCUUGGGUUCAACCCCCAGGAGAACCA